GACGAACGCUGGCGGCGUGCUUAACACAUGCAAGUCGAACGGAAAGGCCCUGCUUUUGUGGGGUGCUCGAGUGGCGAACGGGUGAGUAACACGUGAGUAACCUGCCCUUGACUUUGGGAUAACUUCAGGAAACUGGGGCUAAUACCGGAUAGGAGCUCCUGCUGCAUGGUGGGGGUUGGAAAGUUUCGGCGGUUGGGGAUGGACUCGCGGCUUAUCAGCUUGUUGGUGGGGUAGUGGCUUACCAAGGCUUUGACGGGUAGCCGGCCUGAGAGGGUGACCGGCCACAAUGGGACUGAGGUACGGCCCAGACUCCUACCGGAGGGAACAGUGGGGAAUAUUGCACCAUGGGCGGGAGCCUGAUGCAGCAACGCCGCGUGCGGGAAGGCGGCCUUCGGGUUGUAAACCGCUUUCGCCUGUUACGGAGCGUGAGUGACGGUAAUUGGUAAAGAAGCACCGGCUAACUACGUG
rnacentral:rRNA from 1 species